rnacentral:tRNA from 1 species
GGAGGGGUGGCAGAGUGGUCGAAUGCGGCGGUCUUGAAAACCGUUAUGGCGCAAGCCAUCGGGGGUUCGAAUCCCUCCCCCUCCGCCA